rnacentral:lncRNA from 1 species
ACAACGUGAAAUAGGAAGUGUAGCAAGUUGCAUCACCUGCUAAUCUCAGCGUGAGAGUUAUACCGCAUGUAAAAAUACACAUGCACCGAUACGCCCUGCCCCAUGUUACAGCACUACUCCUCUCAGUGAAAGAAGUUUUCAGAUACCCUAAAGAUGAACUAGGAGGAGGAGAAUGUGGAGAUCCAGAAACAUCCAUGGAAUAUGAAAGAAGGCAAAAGAGGCAGGUGUAACCAUCUGUGAUUAAAUGUGACUGGAGGAGCACAAAGCAUGGAGAGAGGAUCUGAUUAUCCGAUUGGCUGACGGCAGGACGGUCAAAGGUCAGCUGGAGUGACCUCGCCGUUACAGAUGGCCGAGAGUGAACGUGGUGUACAGAGUGAAUGGAGAUCUGUGGGAUCUAAGUCUCUCUCUGGUGGAGGACUGCGUGAACUGCAGCUGCUGGGUUUUGACUCACUGGAGGGCAGACAGGUACAAGCUUUUGAUUGUUUAAGAGUUUUGCCUUCGAGCGUUAACAAUGAACAAGUAAACACUGUCUCUUCUCUUUCCAGCCCCUGAUAUUAGCACUGCAUCUAGCGUAGGGCUGUGCAAUUAAUCGAAAUUGCGCCCCAUUCCACCCCCUUUCCAGCGCUGCGCUUUCGUUCCUCCAUAAAAGCCCAGUUUCAUGUGCAAAUCAGUGAAAUCAUGUAACUUCUGCAGCAUGGGACGUGCUCAGAGACACACAUGUAAAGCGUAAAGUCAUCUUUUAGCUCAAGGUGCGCGCCUAAACUAAUGCUGCACUUAGUGAUUAUUCACGUAAACCCUCGUCGGUCAUAAAUGAACAUAAAGAGUUGAGAAUGAAAAUACAUUCGUUGGAUCCGUGUGCUCUUGUGACAGCGGGCUAAUAUUCCUGAC